rnacentral:lncRNA from 1 species
UGGUCCAUCACAGGUUCCUAUUCUAGGUCAUGAACAACUUAUUCACUGUGGCAGUGAUGGCUAAUUAACAGUGAACAUAAUAAAGAAGUAUAUACAGUUCAGUGGGCCGGCAGGGAGAGAUGCUGAGCAGGACAGAACCAGCCAGAACCCUGACUAAUACGGUAUUCACGAGCCAUCGCACUGGCAUUCUCUGGGGUGUGUUCUCCUGGGGUUCUUUCCACCAGCCUUCAGACAUCCUCCACCCCGGUCUUGGUGAAGUGUGCUCUGGCUGCAGAGAAGCUUCAGAACAGAUCUCAGACCUCAAGCAGGAGGCUCUGAAGGAGGCACCCUCCCCUGGAACAUUAUCUCUAGAUUCUGAAAUCAUUCCUCAAUCCUAUUUGUGUUCCUUCCUCAAUUUCUCAGGGAUCCAAGGAUGCCCACAACGAGAGGGCAAGCCCCUGUUUCACGUGGGUUUCAUACUGCAGUAUGCUGCAUUUCCCACCGAAUACCCCCCCCUUCUUCCUCUGCUACUGCUUUUAGAGGAACUGAGUUUUCCUUCAACCGAAACCAUGCUCAGGCUUUUAAUUUUUGCCAUGCAUACUAAUGCUGCAGUGCUUAAUAAAAUAAAUAAAUAAAACAAGACUGUGUAAGAAGAAAUGCUACAAUUUAACAUUUUUGAGCAUUGCUAAUUCAUUUAGGAGGUAAUUUGAACUGAAAUUCUCAGGAAUGGUUAUUACUAUUCU